GUAUCAUUUUGCAGGUCUCUGGUUUGCUAUUUGUGGUCAUUUUUCGUCUGGAGUUUUACUGCUGUGAUCACUCAGUGUCUGAUGUCAGUUGUUGUUGGCGUGUCCUUGUCAUAAAUUCUAUUUUUGUCUAUUUUCAAUCACUCUGGUCUCUUUGUGAUCAUUUUGCAGAAACCUUUUGUUCUUUACUUUGUUGUUUGUGUUUUGUGUGUUCAGCUUGGUCUGUUUUUUUUUCUCUUUGUUUGUAUCUUUGAUCACAACAAUACGUUUUCUGUCUUUUACUGUGGAAGUCUAUGGGGCUGCCACGCUGCUGCCUCUGCUGGACGUAAGAGGAAUUGCAGAUUGCGGCACUUCCGCGUUGGCUUGGAGAUUUCCGCGGAGUGAUCCUUCUUCCUCCAUCAGGAUCUCCACAGCCUUCACUCCGCCGACACGUCGAUCGGGAUUCUCUGCCUGGAAACAUCGCAAACUAAUCGGAACCGGCGGCCGACACAGACGGAGCGGUCUCGCGGGCUUCGUGGGGGUCGAUUAGGCGGGACUCUUUUUCAUGACUAAAGAUGGGAAGUGAUCAGAGCCACGAGAGGAAGGCUGAGGAGGCCGAGAAGGAAACUGAAAAACACGAGCAGUGUGACACAACUGAGGACGCGACUCCUGAAGAGGUGCCAGGAGAGCUGCCCCAGUGCAGGAUGGGAAACAGGAGGGUGGACAGCAUGUGUUUCAUGAUCUCGUGCACUAACUGGUACUGAACUGGUCCCCGUGUGUUGGGCUCGUGAUGAAACAGACGCACACUGGAGGAUCUGUCUGCGUCUGUGCUGCUACAACAACAAAUGCACCGGACUUCACUUUCCUUCAACUCGAAAACAAGACUAAUGAUAAGAGGAAGGGAUGGAAAAGGAUUUCAAACGAUGGGUCACAAGAGUCGUGGACUGUGUGGGAGAUGCUUGGAUUUCUGGUCAUGCCAAUAAAGACUGAACAAAAGUAAAGAAGUGUUGCUCGUCAUGCUCUGUGGGUCAGAGAGACGCGAGAGCUGAACUAAGGUUGCUCACUUCAGCUGUUGAUGUUCAAAAAGAAUUAGACUAGAAAGGAAAGGAAAGGAGGAUGGAAGAGGGAAAGGAAGGAAAGAAGGAGAUUGGGAAAGGGAAGGAAGUAAGGAAAGGAGAAGGAGGCAUAAAAAGGAAGAAAGCUGACAACGGAAGGAAAGGAAGGAAGAAAACGAAAGAAGAAAGGGGGUUAGGGAAGAGGCAGGAAGGAAGGGAAAACGGAUGACAGAAAGAGAGGAAAGGAAGGAAGAAAGGAAAGGAAAUGAGAGUACCUAAGGAAGGAAUGAAACGGGAAGAAGAAGACUAAGAAGGAAAGGGAACAAAGAAGCAGGUAGGAACAAAGGAAGGAAAGAAGGAUGAAAUAAGGAUAGCAAAGGAGAAGUAAGGAAUGAGACCAGAAAGGGCAAAUGAAUUAAGGAGUGAAGGAGGAAAGGGAAAAUCAAAGAAGGGAGCAAAUAUGAAAGGAAGUAAAGAAGGAAGAAAAGAAGGGAACAAAGAAAAGGAGACCUUUGGGUCUAAUUUGUUUCACUCAGAGCUGUAAAAAUGCAAACACACUGCAGCGUGUUCAGAGUUCAGCAGGAACGACAUUAAUCAGCAGACCUAAAGACGUUUCAGUUGAAGACGUGAUGGAUUCAUCAGGAACAUCAUUAUUCAAGUCUGUGAUAAGAUUAAUGCUGCAUAUCUGACACUUACUGUCUCAUAAUUAUGAGAAAGUCUUCAGGUGGUUAUAAAUCAUCUGUGCUUGAGAGGACGGGGCGCCGAAUGAUUUAAGUUUAAUGAAUAUGAGCUCGGGUUCUAACACAAGUGGCUCCUUUUUCCUUUUUUUCAACAAAGUCGUUCGGAGAACGUCACAAAAGCCCCGACUGGUGUGAACAGACGGGGAAUUUUACAGGAAACAAGACGGAUGACGUCCCAGCCGGAGACAACAUGAGCCUCAGUUUGGUUAUUAUAUCAGAUAUUACAGCUCGACUGAAAUAGUAAAGGAAAUAAAGAAGGAAACAAUAAGGAAGAAAAGAGGGGAAAAGGAAGCAGAAGGAAGAAUGACAGAAGUAGAAAGGAAGGAAAUAUGAAAAGGAAAGGGUAUGAGGAUGAAGAAGUUGAAAAGGGAACAACAAAUGGAAAGGAACAAAUGAAAAAGGAAAGGAAGCAAGGAAUUAAGAAUCAGUGAUGGAAAUAAAGAAGUAUGGAAGGAAAGAAAGGAUGAAGGAAAGACAUUAGAGAAGAUGAUGGAAGGGAGGAAGAAAAGGAAACGAAUGAACAAACUUAAACUGUAGUUCCUCCUGUGACCACUUGAGGCUCCAGCAGUGACUCAGUGCCUGUAAACUCUGUGCUAUGGAUCGAUUCCUCCUUCCUAACCCUGCACGGGGUUUACAGGCUUUAUAACCCACCCAGCUGAUGGGUCCAGUCUGUGUCAGAAAGCAGGAAUCAGGACUAGAAGAUAAGCCUGGUAUUAAAAUGUCCUUUCAUGCGCUUUAACUCGUCCUGAGCAGCCGCCUACAGUGUCUCACAUGGUGGUAGAACUUUUAAAGUUUACCCAGAAUGCACUUUUUUGGUUUCCUCUGCUGAACUAUGAGAAAUCAGAUCAAUAACGUAGCAACGCGUGCUUCUGUGUCUCUACAUCACAGACAUUACGACAGGAAGACGCCCUUUUCACGUGUCACGGUUCUGGUACAAAUAACAGAAAUGUGAAUUUUGCACAAAUAUAAGCUAACAAUAACUUUGAUAACGCUCAUGUUGGGCAGACUUACUCACUACUUCCUCUUGUGGUCCAAAAUGGCAUUACACCAGAGAAUCCUGGUGCUGUUUUAACUUUGGGGAUCUGUUUUAGACAGAACAUCAUGGAUGUUGCUUCUUCACGUUCUCCUGGUGGGUUCAGUUAAUUUUACAAUUAAAGAAACAUCUUUUCAUUUGACCUUCAAGAUGAGAAAAAUAGCAGCUGUUCAGUGAGGCAGGAGGACAGAGCGUAAGUCUUUCCAUAGCAGAGUGUGGACGCGUGUCCUUGUGAGACGUUAGCAGGUCGACUCCUCAAAAACCUCCGAGGGGAACCCUUAACUUGCUAAAUGGUGAUGCACUGACCCAUUUCGAGCAAUUACAGUUUCAGCCAUAAAGCGUAUGAAGUCAAAAGCAUAUGAACGACCCAAUGAUCCAUUUGGACGUAAUAAAAGAAGUCAAAUUUUCUCCAAAUGACACAUUAAAUCUCCAUGAAAUUAAAACGGAGUUGGAAGGCAUCAGUGUCUGAGCUCGUCUGCUCCGUCACAUUACUGGGCAGGUGGCUGAACAUAUUGCAUUUCAUCAGAAGAGCAGCAUACGUGUCCCUAAAGGGGCAUUUCUGCAAAAUACCACAAGGCAGAUUUAUGAUGCACAUCUGUUAGAUUUUUCCUGCUCGUGUUGCAGAUGCUCCGGAGCAGUUAACGAACCUGCGAAAAAUUCAUCCCCGAUCAGGACUAUUAAAAAAAAAAUGAAAUGUGCAGAUUAAUGCAUGUACAGAAAACACAGGGAAAAUGCUUGUUUUCCUUUUUAGAUCAAUAAAAAUAUGUCUGUUAUGCAGCAGCUGUCUGACACAGUCGUGAUGAAGCAGGGAAACGGCAUUAAAGCGAACACAGAAAGAUCAAAAGUUAGAUUAACGACGUUCCUGAUAUACAGAAGGAAAAGGAGCACAGCAGGAAAAAAUUAAAUGAUGCCCUCAAACAGCCUGCGGGGCAGCGACACAGUUAGUCAGAAAUGUUACCAUGUUCACGGGAAACUCGGGCGUCCACCAAUCAGCUCAUUUCAGUUCAACUCAGACAAACAUUAUCUUCAUAAUGUGCUUUAUAGAGCAAAAAGCUCACAACAGAGAGACAAGCCCAACAAUCACACAAUCCCCAAUGGUGACAGCUGGGAGGAAGAACUCCCUUUUAACAGGAAGUGACCUCAAGCAGAAGCAGGGUUCAUGGGUUUCAAAUGUAACUCUGGGCCCAUCAGAGAUGUAAUCCAUGACUCAUGACGAGUUAUUGAUCUGCAAAAAAGUAAAAGACGCGUCUUAGACGAUGAAGUUUUCACUUUUAUUGACAGUUCAUUGUUAACAGAACAGGUGUUAUUGGUAUAUGACCAGCGUGGACAAUAAAACCAAAGCAAACAUAGAAAAAACAACAACAAACAUCUCUGUUCCAGUCAAGUGUUUAAAUAAGAAAACCGCAAUUAUAAUUUUCUCGAGUCAUUAACGUAAACAUGCCUAUCAGACAUAAGCAUCGUCAUAAAAAUGGUACAACGUCGUGUGCAAAGGAUGAUGAGGUUCAUCUUAAAUAAGAGAGAAAUAAAGAUAGAAAAGGUUCUAUUUACAGGAUGUCCGACUGGAACACGAGAGAAACCAAACUGUGCUUUAGUUCGCUUGUAAAGAAGUGAAGCCAAGGUCCGAUUUUUUUCAUUUUAAUUUUAUAAUCAACCCAUUUAGUCAUAAAAACCCAAAAAUCCAAAGAAAAACCAAACUGUAUUUACAGAAAACGUCUUUUUCUCUAUAAGAAAAACAAACUGAAGCGAAUCUCUCUUAAAGCUAUUUCUGAUAAAAUCUCCCUAGAAGUAAUAGUAGUAGUGAAACUAUCCAGAGAACAUCAGUAUAUCUUCAAAAAGUCUGCCAGACUACCUUUGAUAUGUUUUUAUUCUCCUACAUUUUUUAGACAACGUUAGAAACUAAAGGCAACAACAGGCAAGUUAAAGGAAGACUCAGCCACGUGACGCCACUCCCAGACCUCAGCGACGCGUUUGUGUCGGUGGAAUUUAAGAAAGCAGGUUUUUGCAUUCGUCGUGAUAAAAACGGUUCUGGAUGCAGUAAAACGUGUUGUUUUGGAUUUUACAGGCUCCACAGCUUCAUACGACUCAGAUUUGUGUCUCAAUCACAACAUAAAGUGUGUUCAGCUCAUUCUGAGUCAAUCAAACACUGAAACAUUCAAAGUAGAAAUAUAAAAGAAUCUGCAAUGGAAACGAUUUAAAUAGAUAUUUCACAUAAAAUAAAGAUUUCAUAGUUUCUGUAACAUUUUCUUUUGAACAGAUCAGGUGAGCAUAACUAACAAACAUCAUUUCAUCGUCGUGUUAUUGUGACUUCAUCCUAUUUUUAUUUAUCUGGUUGUUUUGAACUAUUUCAGUGGUUUGACUUAAUCAGCUGCGGCGUAUCCGACGCUGUAGGCGCCGCACUGAAUGAAAAACAUUUGACUUGAAUAAACGUAUGUAUAUGAAAUCCAGCAAAAUAAAUAUUUCCUACUUCCUGUAAGUUAGCAGCACUAAAAAAUAUGAUUUAUAUUUAUCUAUAAUUAAUUUUCGCAUUUGACACCAUC
ensembl:lncRNA